AGUGAACGCUGGCGGUAGGCCUAACACAUGCAAGUCGAACGGCAGCACAGUAAGAGCUUGCUCUUACGGGUGGCGAGUGGCGGACGGGUGAGGAAUACAUCGGAAUCUACUUUUUCGUGGGGGAUAACGUAGGGAAACUUACGCUAAUACCGCAUACGACCUACGGGUGAAAGCAGGGGAUCUUCGGACUUUGCGCGAUUGAAUGAGCCGAUGUCGGAUUAGCUAGUUGGCGGGGUAAAGGCCCACCAAGGCGACGAUCCGUAGCUGGUCUGAGAGGAUGAUCAGCCACACUGGAACUGAGACACGGUCCAGACUCCUACGGGAGGCAGCAGUGGGGAAUAUUGGACAAUGGGCGAAAGCCUGAUCCAGCCAUACCGCGUGGGUGAAGAAGGCCUUCGGGUUGUAAAGCCCUUUUGUUGGGAAAGAAAAGCAGCAGGUUAAUACCCCGCUGUUCUGACGGUACCCAAAGAAUAAGCACCGGCUAACUUCGUG
rnacentral:rRNA from 1 species